UCACCGGGUAACACACUCACCUU
rnacentral:miRNA from 1 species